AAACUUAAUUUUUAGAUUCCAACAUUAAAAAAAAAAAAAUUAUUCGGGUCAUGCAUACGUAAAUGUCAUUUAUACAAAUGCAUUAAUAACAAUAAGACUAGAAUAUAAACUUCGUAUCUUGUAAAAAAUAAAAGAUCUAGACGCCACGUAUGAUCUUGUAUAAUUAUUUCAGUAUGUUAUAGAAAAACAGCAAAACAAAUAUAGUCCUAUAUAUAAUUUAAGAUUGUGAUACAUUGCCAAAGGAUCAUGGUUGCCCUAUAGGCUAACACAAGAAGCACCAUAUAUCAUCUCUUAUGCUUCCUUGAUUGGUUGAUGCAAAAACACGAUCCCUGGAGGAUGGAUCUGAACUUGAUACUCAUUUUGAUGAGAGCAAUUACUAUAGGCUGAAGCUGUAGACUACCUUACAAUGGUGCUGCUCACUUGAGAGUUGUAGCACUAAUUAGGGCCUUUUGUAGGUGAGUCGGAAAGUAGAGGAAAAGGAUCUUCCCUAGCAUAUACCUAGCUAAGGUUCUUUGCACACAGCCACACACCGUGUGUGUUUGCUUUUAUAAAAGUAAUUCAGUGUCACACCAUUUAUAGAAUCUUCAUUGACAUUAUAAUUUUU
rnacentral:lncRNA from 1 species